GAUGUUGGGUUAAGUCCCGCAACGAGCGCAACCCUUGUCUUUAGUUGCUACGCAAGAGCACUCUAAAGAGACUGCCGGUGACAAACCGGAGGAAGGUGGGGAUGACGUCAAGUCCUCAUGGCCCUUAUGGGUAGGGCUUCACACGUCAUACAAUGGUACGUACAGAGGGUUGCCAACCCGCGAGGGGGAGCUAAUCUCUUAAAACGUAUCGUAGUCCGGAUCGUAGUCUGCAACUCGACUACGCGAAGCUGGAAUCGCUAGUAAUCGCGGAUCAGCAUGCCGCGGUGAAUACGUUCCCGGGUCUUGUACACACCGCCCGUCACACCAUGGGAGUGGGUUUG
rnacentral:rRNA from 1 species